rnacentral:misc_RNA from 1 species
GAAAUGCGAUAAGUAAUGUGAAUUGCAGAAUUCCGUGAAUCAUCGAAUCUUUGAACGCACAUUGCGCCCCCUGGCAUUCCGGGGGGCAUGCCUGUCCGAGCGUCAUUUCUGCCCUCAAGCACGGCUUGUGUGUUGGGUGUGGUCCCCCCGGGGACCUGCCCGAAAGGCAGCGGCGACGUCCGUCUGGUCCUCGAGCGUAUGGGGCUCUGUCACUCGCUCGGGAAGGACCUGCGGGGGUUGGUCACCACCAUAUUUCACCACGGUUGACCUCGGGUCAGGUAGGAGUUACCCGCUGAACUUAAGC